UACAGGGGGUGCAAACGUUGCUCGGAAUCAUUGGGCGUAAAGCGCACGUAGGCGGUUCGUUAUGUCGGAUGUAAAAGCCCUUGGCUUAACCGAGGAAGUGCAUCCGAAACUGGCGAGCUAGAGUACGAAAGAGGAUCGCGGAAUUCCCGGUGUAGAGGUGAAAUUCGUAGAUAUCGGGAGGAACACCGGUGGCGAAGGCGGCGAUCUGGGUCGAUACUGACGCUGAGGUGCGAAAGCGUGGGGAGCAAACAGG
rnacentral:rRNA from 1 species